CCUGCCUGGUAGCGGGGGAUAACUAUUGGAAACGAUAGCUAAUACCGCAUAAAAUGGAUUAUCGCAUGAUAAUCCAUUGAAAGGUGCAAAUGCAUCACUACCAGAUGGACCUGCGUUGUAUUAGCUAGUUGGUGGGGUAACGGCUCACCAAGGCGACGAUACAUAGCCGACCUGAGAGGGUGAUCGGCCACACUGGGACUGAGACACGGCCCAGACUCCUACGGGAGGCAGCAGUAGGGAAUCUUCGGCAAUGGACGGAAGUCUGACCGAGCAACGCCGCGUGAGUGAAGAAGGUUUUCGGAUCGUAAAGCUCUGUUGUAAGAGAAGAACGAGUGUGAGAGUGGAAAGUUCACACUGUGACGGUAUCUUACCAGAAAGGGACGGCUAACUACGUGCCAGCAGCCGCGGUAAUACG
rnacentral:rRNA from 1 species